UUGGGGAGAAGAACUGGAAUGAAUAUGAUAGGACAGCACAGGACAGGACAACAUAACUGGGGGAGAAAGAUAGGGAUUUCAUUUCCCAGACACCACCCCAUCCAUCAGCUCAUCGGCAGGGCACUAAAUGCCAUUGUCAACCGCACUGUUAGAGCAGGGAGGCUGUUCAUUUUGAGUGUCCUCCUCCCCUUGUCCCAGCCCUGCUUCAGCUGGACUGGCUGUUCAUUUUGAGUGUCCUCCUCCCCAUGUCCUAGCCCUGCCUCAGCUCUUAGAGAAGGUAGUGAUGGUUUUAUGACCACAGCAAAAAAAUGGCAUGAUGGAGAUGAGAUGGCGUUAGAGUUGGCUGACCACACCAGGCAUAAAUGUCAGUGUGUGUGGAUUCAGUUUUUAUUAGUAAUACAGCACUUCCUCCUGCUCGACCACAGCCCAUUACAAAAGUGUCUAUUAGUGGAGAAUGUGAAGAUGUAAAUACAUGUGGUUUAAAGGUGCUAAUUCCACCAUAUGUCCAUGCAGCUGAAACAUAGAUAAUUGGACUGGAGCACCAGGAAGGUGCUGUGAUAGAAACCCAUAAUUUUAAUUAGGUCAUGCUCUCUUGGUAGAUUAGGCUUUUUCUUUGAGCAAUUUUCUCUCUUUUAAUAUAAAACAAAGUGUUGAAUUGUAUGGUGGCGUACCUAACACAUUUUCUGAAUAGAUACGGGAGCUGAAUGUGUCUUAAUGCACAGGCCUAUAUCUGUUCCCCAGUGUAACAGUGGUGAAUUGAAAUUACAAUUGGUUCCUGUCCAUGGUGCAGAAGAUGUCAAUUUCUGUAGAUAGCCAGAGUAUUUGUACGUGUGCUGUCUUGUAGCCUUUGAAUUGAACUCAUAGAUGAGAACCUGGUAUCGCUGGUACCACUGGUAUCACUGGUAACGCUGGUAUCACUGGUACAACUGGUAUUGCUGGUAUCACUGGUAACGAUGGUAUCACUGGUACAACUGGUAUUGCUGGUACCACUGGUAUCACUGGUAUCACUGGUACCACUGGUACAACUGGUAUCACUGGUAUCGCUGGUACAACGGGUACCACAGGUAUCGUUGGUACCACUGGUAUCACUGGUAUCACUGGUAACGCUGUUAUCACUGGUACAACUGGUAUCACUGGCAACUCUGGUAUCACUGGUAACGCUGGUAUCACUAGUACAACUGGUAUCGCUGGUACCACUGGUGUCACUGGUAUCGCUGGUACCACUGGUAUCACUGGUAAUGCUGGUAUCACUGGUAACGCUGGUAUCACUGGUACAACUGAUAUCACUGGCAACUCUGGUAUCACUGGUAACGCUGGUAUCACUAAUGUUACUGUGUCACUGGUGUUACUGUAUCACUGGUAUCACUUUAUCACUGGUAUCACUGGUAUCACUUUAUCACUGGUAUCACUUUAUCAAUGGUAUCACUUUAUCACUGGUACCUCUGUAUCACCUGUAUCACUUUAUCACUGGUAUCAUUUUAUCACUGGUACCUCUGUAUCACUGGUAUCACUUUAUCACUGGUAUCACUUUAUCACUGGUAUCACUUUAUCACUGGUAUCACUUUAUCACUGGUACCUCUGUAUCACUGGUACCUAUAUCACUGGUAUCACUGUAUCACUGAUAUCACGUUAUCACUGGUAUCACGUUAUCACUGGUAUCACUUUAUCACUGGUACCUCUGUAUCACUGGUAUCACUUUAUCACUGGUAUCACUUUAUCACUGGUAUCACUUUAUCACUGGUAUCACUGGUAUCACUUUAUCACUGGUAUCACUUUAUCACUGGUACCUCUGUAUCACUGGUACCACUGUGUCACUUGUACGUCUGUAUCACUGGUAUCACUUUAUCACUGGUAUCACGUUAUCACUGGUACCACUGUGUCACUUGUACCACUGUGUCACUGGUAUCACUGUAUCACUGGUACCUCUGUAUCACUGGUACCACUGUGUCACUGGUAUCACUUUAUCACUGGUACCACUGUGUCACUUGUACCUCUGUAUCACUGGUAUCACUGCACUAAAAUCUUACCUUUCUGGGUAUCUUUAAUGUAUUCUUCUAUUUGAUCUGGCAGGGCAACUAUUGGUGCCCUCUACAAGAGCCUCCGGUAAAAGACGGACAAGCAAAGAUAAUGUAUCAUUGAUGUAACAAACUCUCCGUGACCAGCCGUGUUUGUUCCAGAUUCUUCCAGAUUGUAAGACCACCGUGUUUUUGAUGAAUAUUGUGGAGAACAACAUUGUUGCAUAUUAGGAAAUAUGUGUUUUGUCUGGGAAGGGAAAGCCCAACAAAGAAAAUGGGUCAUUUUGAUGUACGAAAAUGGAAACUGGUUGACCAAAUUAUUUCCCAGACACAGUCAGAUGGACGGCUUUUUAUUGAAGCUGUCAAUAAAAGUGUCAGUUUUAUCAGCUCUCCUUUGUAGUUUGAUCUCAACAACAUAUUGGGACCAAAUAGCCUUUUAAAAACAGAAAUCGGGGUGGUGGACACAUUUUAUGUUUCUAAUCACAAUGUUCAUUAAACUUGAAAUCAAAAAGAAGAACAGCAUCUGACAUCAGAUUUAACAAGUCAUUUAAAAUAGUUAAUUCCUAUUGAUGCAUAGAUGGCUGCCUCACAUAGAAAAUAACAAAUACAAAAGCCUUAGCUUAUUUCUCCUGAGAAGAAUGACUUAUACAAUCACGUCAACUCGCUGUUAGAUGUUAAGCAUUCCCUCAAGUUGCUAAUGAAUAAGAACUGAUUUAGUGGAGGGCACUAACGCUAAAUAGGCUUCCAUAAUGAGUGCAGCUCCGUGACUUCAAAUGACUGAAUACAGUUUAACGCUUGCCAAGUUACACAAAAUAAACGAUUGGCUCUUUCUGGUGAUGAAUUGUAAUUUGGAUUUAACAUAACUGUGGUAAUGACUGAACUAAUGACUUCAAAGUUAUCUCGGACAUUUUCUAAUGUUGGGCGUGCCUUGCAUCUCAAUGAGAUGGAGAAAGGUCUGGAGCCAGCCGAGCACACUGCAUGGUGGGACAACAUACAGCCUGGUGGGAGGAUGGAUGGCUGGGGGAGAUAAAUGGGUUGAAGGGUUGGAUGGGUG
rnacentral:lncRNA from 13 species